AUCCGCGGAUUUGGAAAGUUUUUCGGUUGAAGAUGAUCUCGCGGCCUAUCAGCUUGUUGGUGAGGUAAUGGCUCACCAAGGCGACGACGGGUAGCCGGCCUGAGAGGGCGACCGGCCACACUGGGACUGAGACACGGCCCAGACUCCUACGGGAGGCAGCAGUGGGGAAUAUUGGGCAAUGGAGGAAACUCUGACCCAGCGACGCCGCGUGCGGGAUGAAGGCCUUCGGGUUGUAAACCGCUUUCAGCAGGGAAGAAGCGAAAGUGACGGUACCUGCAGAAGAAGCACCGGCUAACUAUGUGCCAGCAGCCGCGGUAAUACAUAGGGAGCAAGCGUUGUCCGGAAUUAUUGGGCGUAAAGAGCUCGUAGGUGGUUCGUCACGUCGGAUGUGAAACUCUGGGGCUUAACCCCAGACCUGCAUUCGAUACGGGCGAGCUUGAGUAUGGUAGGGGAGUCUGGAAUUCCUGGUGUAGCGGUGGAAUGCGCAGAUAUCAGGAGGAACACCAAUGGCGAAGGCAGGACUCUGGGCCAUUACUGACACUGAGGAGCGAAAGCGUGGGGAGCGAACAGGAUUAGAUACCCUGGUAGUCCACGCCGUAAACGGUGGGCACUAGUUGUGGGGACCUUCCACGGUCUCUGCGACGCAGCUAACGCAUUAAGUGCCCCGCCUGGGGAGUACGAUCGCAAGAUUAAAACUCAAAGGAAUUGACGGGGCCCCGCACAAGCAGCGGAGCAUGCGGCUUAAUUCGACGCAACGCGAAGAACCUU
rnacentral:rRNA from 1 species